rnacentral:rRNA from 1 species
GAUGAACGCUGGCGGCGUGCCUAACACAUGCAAGUCGAGCGAGAAGUUUGAAAAUGAGUUUCGAACAAGUGAUUCAAACGGAAAGCGGCGGACGGGUGAGUAACGCGUAGGCAACCUGCCCCGUGCAGAGGGACAGCCUCGGGAAACCGGGAUUAAGACCUCAUGAUAUCGGGGUUAUCACAUGGUAAUCCGGUCAAAGAUUUAUCGGCAUGGGAUGGGCCUGCGUCUGAUUAGCUGGUUGGUGGGUAACGGCCUACCAAGGCGACGAUCAGUAGCAGAACUGAGAGGUUCAUCUGCCACAUUGGAACUGAGACACGGUCCAAACUCCUACGGGAGGCAGCAGUGAGGAAUAUUGCACAAUGGGCGAAAGCCUGAUGCAGCAACGCCGCGUGAGCGAAGAAGGCCUUUGGGUCGUAAAGCUCUGUCCUUGGGGAAGAAACAAAUGACGGUACCCUUGGAGGAAGCCCCGGCUAACUACGUG